rnacentral:rRNA from 1 species
UCGAGUGGCGAACGGGUGAGUAACACGUGGGUGAUCUGCCUUGCACUUCGGGAUAAGCUUGGGAAACUGGGUCUAAUACCGGAUAGGACAGCUGUUUAGUGUCAGUUGUGGAAAGUUUUUUCGGUGCAAGAUGAGCUCGCGGCCUAUCAGCUUGUUGGUGGGGUAAUGGCCUACCAAGGCGUCGACGGGUAGCCGGCCUGAGAGGGUGUACGGCCACAUUGGGACUGAGAUACGGCCCAGACUCCUACGGGAGGCAGCAGUGGGGAAUAUUGCACAAUGGGCGGAAGCCUGAUGCAGCGACGCCGCGUGGGGGAUGAAGGCCUUCGGGUUGUAAACUCCUUUCGACAGGGACGAAGCGUAAGUGACGGUACCUGUAUAAGAAGCACCGGCUAACUACGUGCCAGCAGCCGCGGUAAUACGUAGGGUGCGAGCGUUGUCCGGAAUUACUGGGCGUAAAGAGCUCGUAGGUGGUUUGUCGCGUCGUCUGUGAAAUUCCGGGGCUUAACUCCGGGCGUGCAGGCGAUACGGGCUGACUUGAGUGCUGUAGGGGAGACUGGAAUUCCUGGUGUAGCGGUGAAAUGCGCAGAUAUCAGGAGGAACACCGAUGGCGAAGGCAGGUCUCUGGGCAGUAACUGACGCUGAGGAGCGAAAGCAUGGGUAGCGAACAGGAUUAGAUACCCUGGUAGUCCAUGCCGUAAACGGUGGGCGCUAGGUGUAGGGGGCUUCCACGUCUUCUGUGCCGUAGCUAACGCAUUAAGCGCCCCGCCAUGGGGAGUACGCCGCAAGGCUA